rnacentral:misc_RNA from 1 species
CUACGACGUGUGGUUUCCAUAGUGAGAACCAUGCCUCGAGAAUGUGCUGCACCCGACUGCCUCGAAAAGAUGGGAAAAGAGGAUAAUUUUUAUGUCCUUGUUGUCCUUGUGCAAUGUUUUGAAGCAGUUUUUCCUUAGUUCCAUCACUGAGAAUAAAGAUACAUUAUUAAAAUUAUAAAAUAUACUUUUAACAAAUUCAUUAUGCUUUCACUUUUUUCAUGGAUUAUUUUAGUAGUUGUUUCCAACAUCUCAUGCCAUACAUUAAAAAAAAUUACAUAAAUAUGUCCCUGUUCUCAACUGACGAAAAACAUUUUUUUCUGAAUUAAGGUCUUUAACGGCAGCGACUGAUGAUUUACUGACUGUGACAAUGAAUAUACAGACAUAUAAAGGAAUAAUGCAUGUUAUCAUUAAUUCACACAACAUUUUGAACUUCUUGUGACUGUACUAGAUUCUGUGGUCUGGCGACAACAGUGACUGUGCCAUGUACAUGUCCUCCAUGUGUGAGUGUCAAGACCCUGGGUCAGGCCGUGUGAUGGACAGGAGAGUGCUAUACUUUUGUAAUAACACUCUUCCCGGAGCAAGUCGUCCUGUUGAAUAUCACGCCGCAAAGACUCUUUUUGACCGGAUCGCCCGGUACAGGUAAAACUGUGGUGCUGUUGAUGAUGGCCAUACAGUGGUUGCAAUGUGGUCACCACGUCUACAUUGUGAGUGUCUGGAGAUGCAGUGACGCAGUCUGCACCAUCUGUAUCACUUGUUGCUGCACACAAUAAACACACAACAGUCAGAAGGUGUAUCACCCAAUCAUCUUCACCUCCUGAAGUAUAAUUUUCAUGACCGUAAAGAAGAAGAGAAGAACGUCAACGACUUCUCACAGGCGGCGAGCGGAGGGUCGUUGUACAUCAUCACUGAUGACGUGAUGUGAGUAGUACAGCGUGUGAUGUGAUGAUAGACAUCAAGGGAUCUUUUAUCUCAUAAUCACCACCAGGUGUUACACAGUAUUUCCUCAAUGGUUGUGACACCUGAUGAAGGUGUUGUAAUGUAACUAAACGAAGAUUUGUCCUGUUUCACAGUUACACAAAUUGUGGCAUCAUUUUUACGUCAUUUGCACAUCGUGUAUUCGAGCUCAUUUAUUUAUUUAUUAUUCACUCAAUCACAUAUUCUAAAUUGACACCAGCAGCAUCUUCAGCAGCUGCUACUGACAGUAAGGUUUUAUGUGAACUUCCACUGAUUAUAUUUAGAGAAUUAGAUGUGCUUUCUUGUUGUGGGUUUUCAUUAAGAGACCUACAAUUAUCAGCGCUAAGAGACUUCGCUUUGCUUUUAGGGGCCACCAUCAGACGGUCUGUUCCUGCAUCACCAUCAUCCGCACCAGCAACGACUCUUACCAUAUCAACUCACCCAUUGUUUUGUAUCUGAGCUAUUUUGGUGGCCGCACACCAAAAGAGGCACUGUAAAGUCUGCUGAAGCAUCUGCUUGCUCCAAAACUAUUUUAUACAGCUUGGAAGGGAGGAAGGAAAAACGAAGAUUUAACACCUUGCAACAUUUAAAAGCCACAAUUUAUGAGCCCAUACUGAAACGAUACAACGAUGUCACAAUGGCCACUUUGGACAAGUACACAGGGGAAUGGCUGGCCAUAUCAGGUGACUGUGAUGGAGGCCGCAAGUGGAGGGAG